rnacentral:lncRNA from 1 species
UGGUGGUAUCUUUAAGGGGCACAAUGGAGACUAGUUGUAGGGAGGGUUCAAGCUGGAAACUCGAACCUAGCGCGCCGCCUGAGGCGUCCGGGAACUGGGUAGGGGGGAAGGGUAGCGGGGCCGGGGUUGGGGAGAGCUGUUGCCACCACUACAGUCUGGCGUGGGUCGCGAGUCCAUUCCCGCUUCCCCCGCCCACUUUGCAGGUUUCCUCUAGCACCCCCUGUUGGCGGACUUUAACAAGGAGCCAGCUGGCAAAGAGAACUGCAGCUGCAAGGAGGCCGGUCCCGGCAGCUACGGGAAACGAGUACAGGUUUCUAGUUUGGGGCUCUUACACAUAAUGCUGUUACGAGCAUUCUUGUGUACUCGUGUUUUGGGUGUGUAUACCAAGGAGUGUACUUGCUGGAUUUAAUAGAUACAGAUAAUAACUGUUCUGGUGAUUGUGAAUUGUGAUUUCAAUAUGCGUAUUUCUUUUUCUUUUUUUUCCCCCCCUCGGGUGCGAAAACAUGGUUUUAUUCAGGACCCCUGGGCAGAAAGAGCUGCUUCAAUUUGCAUGUUUCUAAUUAGUAUUGAAGUUGGCCAUCCUUGGCCAUUGGGAUAUCCUCCCUAAUUAGAAAGUAUCUUCGUGGGGCGCCUGCCUGGCUGGGUCCGAGGAGCCCACGACUCUUGAUGUCUGGGGUCCUGGGUUGCAGCCCCACAGUGGGGUGUAGAGAUUAAUUACAUAAAUAAAACUUUUAAAAAGGUUCCUCAUUGGGAGGCCUGGCUGGCUCAGUUGGUGGAAUAUGGGACUGUUGAUUUUGAGGUUGCAAGUUGAAGCCCCACUUUUGUUUUGUUUUGUUUUUUUAAGGUGCAUCGUGAAGUCUCUAGCCUAUUUACAGUUGGAUGGUCCGGCUUUUUCUUAUUGCUCUGUGGGGAUUUUUAAUAUACUCUUGAUGAAAUUUGAAGUGGGGUUCGUGAGCAAAUGGCUAAGAUAGAAUUCUUGAGAUGUCUUUAGGGCAAAAAGGUGAUUUUAUUAAAGUACGGGGACAGGACCCAUGGGCAGAAAUAGCUGCCCUGGGGUUGUGAGGAGGGACUGAUUAUGUAGUUUUAGGUUUGGGAGGGGGGUAGAGAUAAAGUUAGUUUCCAAGGAAUUUCUGGACGCUGAAAGCAGGGUCUCACAGGACCCUGAAGAUUUAGCUAUUGUCAAGAUAAGGUUGCUUUUAGUUUUUUAAGGGAGUGUAAACAUUAAGGCAUUAAGGCAGCCAUACACGUCUUGGGAAGUAUUACAUGCUGCAUGCAGGUCUCUGAUAUCUAUCAGUGGGCUCCAGGCUGUAAGGGAAUUUAAUUUCAACUACGUUUUUCUUGACUUUGUUUCUCUCAUCAUUGGUAUAAACCCUUUUGAUUAUAUGCAUUGCAAAUAUCCGCUCCCAGUCUGUGAACUUGUCUCUUUCACUCUCUGAACUGGUGUCUUGUGAUGAAUAGAUGUUCUUAAGUUUACGUGGUACAACUUUACAUUUUUUCCUUUAG